rnacentral:rRNA from 1 species
UACGGAGGAUCCAAGCGUUAUCCGGAAUCAUUGGGUUUAAAGGGUCCGUAGGCGGUCUGAUAAGUCAGAGGUGAAAUCCUGCAGCUCAACUGUAGCAUUGCCUUUGAUACUGUUAGACUUGAGUUAUACGGAAGUAGAUAGAAUAAAUAGUGUAGCGGUGAAAUGCAUAGAUAUUACAUAGAAUACCGAUUGCGAAGGCAGAUUACUAACAAUAUACUGACGCUGAGGGACGAAAGCGUGGGUAGCGAACAGG